rnacentral:snRNA from 2 species
GACACCACUCUCUCUCAUCCGAUAAAAUUGGAAGGAUACAUAGAAGAUUAGCAUAGCCCCCGCGCAAGGAUGACACACACUCUUUUAGUAGAUCACUAGUUUUUU